rnacentral:lncRNA from 1 species
ACCCCUUCAUAAGCAAUUUUUAUCUACCCACUAGACAUUUUAGAAACAUCUGUGAGAAAAAGGAAUUUUGACAAGAAUAAAAUAGGAGGGGAAAAGGAGUUUGAAAGCAAGAGCUUAAAAGACUAGCACUCCUCUUGCAUCACACACCAUUAUCACAUGCUCACAAGGUAGUGCAAAACCACCACUUAAUCUUAGCAAGAUCACAUGCACUCACAACACCACAACACUACUCCUAUCAAACUCAAAUGCAACAUGAUCAUGGCAUGCAAUCAUAAGUAUGGCAAGGAAUGAUAUGUAAUUCAUGCAUGCAAGGGAAGUAAGCACUAGGGAACACACAUGAAUUCAUGGCACAAAAUGAUAUCACCAAGAUCUCUGACAAGGUGGCCCCACAUGGAAGGUUACAAGAAAGGAAAGUCUACACUUGGGGCAUUACAA